GCCCGCUUAGCUCAGUGGUAGAGCAUUCGCUUUACAUGCGAGUGGUCGGGGGUUCAAAUCCCUCAGCGGGCA
rnacentral:tRNA from 1 species